rnacentral:rRNA from 1 species
GGGUGAGUAAUGUCUGGGAAACUGCCUGAUGGAGGGGGAUAACUACUGGAAACGGUAGCUAAUACCGCAUAACGUCGCAAGACCAAAGAGGGGGACCUUCGGGCCUCUUGCCAUCAGAUGUGCCCAGAUGGGAUUAGCCUGUUGGUGAGGUAACGGCUCACCAAGGCGACGAUCCCUAGCUGGUCUGAGAGGAUGACCUGCCACACUGGAACUGAGACACGGUCCAG